GAUGAACGCUGGCGGCGUGCCUAAUACAUGCAAGUCGAGCGAACAGAUAAGGAGCUUGCUCCUUUGACGUUAGCGGCGGAGGGGUGAGUAACACGUGGAUAACCUACCUAUAAGACUGGGAUAACUUCGGGAAACCGGAGCUAAUACCGGAUAACAUAUUGAACCGCAUGGUUCCAUAGUGAAAGGCGGCUUUGCUGUCACUUAUAGACGGAUCCGCGCCGUAUUAGCUAGUUGGUAAGGUAACGGCUUACCAAGGCAACGAUACGUAGACGACCUGAGAGGAUGAUCGGCAACACUGGAAAUGAGACACGGACCAGACCCCGACGGGAGGCAGCAGCAGGGAAUCUUCCGCAAGGAGCGAAAGCCUGACGGAGCAACGCCGCGUGAGUGAUGAAGGUCUUCGGAUCGUAAAACUCUGUUAUCAGGGAAGAACAAAUGUGUAAGUAACUGUGCACAUCUGGACGGUACCUGAUCAGAAAGCCACGGCUAACUACGU
rnacentral:rRNA from 1 species